UAAUACGAAGGGGGCAUGCGUUGCCCGGAAUCACUUGGCGUAAAGGGCGCGUAGGCGGACGUUUAAGUCAGGGGUGAAAUCCCGAGGCUCAACCUCGGAAUUGCCUUUGAUACUGGAUGUCUCGAGACCGGAAGAGGUGAGUGGAACUGCGAGUGUAGAGGUGAAAUUCGUAGAUAUUCGCAAGAACACCAGUGGCGAAGGCGGCUCACUGGUCCGGU
rnacentral:rRNA from 1 species